UCCUACGGGGCGCAGCAGUGGGGGAUAUUGCACAAUGGGGGGAACCCUGAUGCAGCGACGCCGCGUGGGUGAAGAAGUAUUUCGGUAUGUAAAGCCCUAUCGGCAGGGAAGAAUUUAGACGGUACCUGACUAAGAAGCCCCGGCUAACUACGUGCCAGCAGCCGCGGUAAUACGUAGGGGGCAAGCGUUAUCCGGAUUUACUGGGUGUAAAGGGAGCGUAGACGGCUGCGCAAGUCAGAA
rnacentral:rRNA from 1 species